UGAAUACGAGAUGCUACGGCGUCGAAGCAGUGUAUGUCAGACUUCCAAGAAAAGCUCGCAAUGUCAUAAAUAAAGAAUGCUUGUACCAUAACCGACACAGGUGGGUAGGUAGAGUAUACUAAGGGGCGCGAGAUAACUCUCUCUAAGGAACUCGGCAAAAUAACUCCGUAACUUCGGGAGAAGGAGUGCCUUCUUUAAGAAGGUUGCAAUAACAAGAUCCAAGCAACUGUUUAUCAAAAACACAGGUCUCCGCUAAGUCGUAAGACGAUGUAUGGGGGCUGACGCCUGCCCAGUGCCAGAAGGUUAAAGAAGUUGGUUAGCUUUUGCGAAGCUGAUGACUGAAGCCCUGGUGAACGGCGGCCGUAACGAUAACGGUCCUAAGGUAGCGAAAUUCCUUGUCGGGUAAGUUCCGACCCGCACGAAAGGCGUAAUGAUUUGGAUACUGUCUCGGAGAGGGACUCGGUGAAAUAGACUUGUCUGUGAAGAUGCGGACUACCUGCACCAGGACAGAAAGACCCUAUGAAGCUUUACUGUAACUUGAAAUUGAAAUUGGACUUUAUUUGCGCAGUAUAGGUGGAAGGCGUUGAAAGUAAUCUUGCGGGAUUAGUGGAGCCAUCAGUGAGAUACCACUCCUAUAAUGUUAGAUUUCUAACUUUGGAUCAUGAUCUGGUCAAAGAACAGUUUCAGGCGGGCAGUUUGACUGGGGCGGUCGCCUCCCAAAUGGUAACGGAGGCGUACAAAGGUUUCCUCUGAACGGGUAGAAAUCGUAUCUAGAGUGUAAAGGCAUAAGGAAGCUUGACUGUGAGACCUACAAGUCGAGCAGGGACGAAAGUCGGUCUUAGUGAUCUGACGGUGCUGAGUGGAAAGGCCGUCACUCAACGGAUAAAAGUUACUCUAGGAUAACAGGCUGAUCUCCCCCAAGAGUUCACAUCGACAGGGAGGUUUGGCACCUCGAUGUCGGCUCAUCGCAUCCUGGGGCGGUAGUACGUCCCAAGGGUUGGGCUGUUCGCCCAUGAAAGCGGUACGCGAGCUGGGUUCAGAACGUCGUGAGACAGUUCGGUCCAUAUCCGGUGUAGGCGUUAGAAUAUUGAGAGGAGCCUUCUUUAGUACGAGAGGACCGAGAAGGACAUACCUCUGGUGUACCGGUUAUCGUGCCAACGGUAAACGCUGGGUAGCUAUGUAUGGAGAGGAUAACCGCUGAAAGCAUCUAAGUGGGAAGCCCACCUCAAGAUGAGUAUUCUC
rnacentral:rRNA from 1 species